CACGUAGGAGGCGAGCGUUGUCCGGAAUCAUUGGGCGUAAAGAGCGCGCAGGCGGCUUGGCAAGUCGGGUGUGAAAUCCCGGGGCUCAACCCCGGGACUGCAUUCGAUACUGUCAGGCUAGAGGUAGGUAGGGGAGAUCGGAAUUCCUGGUGUAGCGGUGAAAUGCGCAGAUAUCAGGAGGAACACCGAUGGCGAAGGCAGGUCUCUGGGCAUUAACUGACGCUGAGGAGCGAAAGCAUGGGGAGCGAACAGG
rnacentral:rRNA from 1 species